AAAGUCGUAACAAGGUCUCCGUUGGUGAACCAGCGGAGGGAUCAUUACAGAGUUGCAAAACUCCCAACCAUUGUGAACCUACCUCACCGUUGCUUCGGCGGGUGGCCCGCUAACGCGGCGCCGCGCAGCACCCACCUUCGGGGGGUGCGGCACCCCGUCAGAAGACCGAAACCCCUAGACAUCUUGGCCUCUCUGAGUAACUUAUACAAUAAGUCAAAACUUUCAACAACGGAUCUCUUGGUUCUG
rnacentral:misc_RNA from 1 species